rnacentral:rRNA from 1 species
GGAGGAUAAGAAACUAAACAGGAUUCCCUCAGUAAUGGCGAAUGAACAGGGAUGAGCUCAGCUUGAAAAUCGGGGCCUCUGGCCUUGAAUUGUAGUCUGGAGAGGCAUUGCCAACGGAGGCGCAGGUGUAAGCCUUUUGGAAAAUGCAUCAAUGAGGGUGAGAAUCCCGUAUGUCACCUGUAGCCCUUCGUGAACGGCAUGUCUUCUAAGAGUCGUGUUCCUCGGGAUUGGAGCGCAAAUUGGGUGGUAAAUUUCAUCUAAAGCUAAAUACAGGUUUGAGACCGAUAGCAAACAAGUACCAUGAGGGAAAGAUGAAAAGGACUUUGGAAAGAGAGUUAAAAGUGCUUGAACUUGCUGAAAGGGAAGCGCAUGGAACCAGUUCGUCUUGGCGAGAUUGUGGCGCAUAAUCGUGACGGCAUGCUGCUCCAGCGCAAGCGGAGUGGUAGGUCUUAAGCGAGCUUGCGCUGUGCUUCUUGCCUUGCAUGUCAUCGGCAUCCCAUUCGUGUGACAAUCCCAGGGACAUGGAAGCAUGGCUGCGGCCGUGUGAAUGUGCCUGGCGAACGCACUGGUGUGUUGCUUGCUGACUAAAUGGUUUCCUGCGACCCGUCUUGAAACACGGA